GGCUGGAUGGCCGAGCGGUCCAAGGCGGUAGACUCAAGUAAUUUACUUGCUUCCCUGAAAACGGGCGAAUUCUACUCUCGAAAGAGGCGCGCGUUCGAAUCGCGCUCCAGUCA